CAGCGCCACGAGUGGCAAUCGCGUUUAUUGGGCCUAAAGCGUUCGUAGCCGGUUUGGCAAAUCUUUUGUGAAAGCGUCAGGCUUAACUUGACGAGUUGCAGAAGACACUACUAAACUAGGGACCGGGAGGAGUUAGAAGUAUUCCGGGGGGACCGGUAAAAUGGUAUAAUCCCCGGAGGACUACCGAUGGCGAAGGCAUCUAACUAGAACGGAUCCGACGGUGAGGAACGAAAGCCAGGGGAGCAAACCGGAUUAGAUACCCGAGUAGUCC
rnacentral:rRNA from 1 species